rnacentral:lncRNA from 1 species
UCUCCUUGCUUUUCCCUUCUCUCUCCUCUCCUCUCCUCUCCCUAUUUCUCUCAUGGCCGGAGAAGGUAGAUUUUUAAGGUUUUUCUCAUGGCCAGAGAAGUUAGAUUUUGAAGCAUCCAACUCAAAUUAAUUGACAAUAAGUGGAGUAUCCUCUCCAGUUAUAUAUUAAGUUUCCAAGUCUUAAUUGCUCGAUAUAAAAUUUUAUAUCUCAAUAUUAUUGAUAGAUUCGUCAAUAUUUUAGAGUUGUUAUUUGUUGCUGUGGCAUCAUCAAGAUUCACAUGGUAAUGCUAUAUAUACUAUUCAAUGAGAAUCUUGAUGAUGCUGCAUCGACAAUAAAUGACUGACUAUAUGAAGCCGGAAAUAAAAAAGUUUAGUAUGUAUGAAAUUUCAAAUACACUUAAAGUAUAAUUUUCCUAUUUGUUGUUAUUAAAUAAAUUUAUUCAGUUUUUUAGAUUUCUAGCUUUUCCACUACAUAUACAGAAGGCCAGGUUUCUUUCAUCUUCUAAUAGAUCUGAUCCCCAAUCCUCAAAUUAAUUUAUAACUUCUAAAAAACUCAAUUUGGUUUUGGGAUUUUAAAAAUCGGAAUUUUUUUCUUUUUUAUAUAUAUUUUUUGAAAUUUCUGUUUAUUUCGAUUGCUGCUUUUGAUUCUAACCUGCAUAGCAUGAAUGUCUUAAAUUGGGUUUAUUCGUCAAUUCUUCUUACUUCACAUAAGCUGCCACGUGGUCAUGAUUACAAAGACUUGUAGAACUCUAAGCUUUACUUCUAUUCUCAACCUUUUAACCUCCUUUACUAGUUUUUCUUACAAUGAAGAAUCUAAAUAACUUGGUAUUUUAUAGUUUUUAUCCAUCGAUCCUUCAAUAUUUUAGAGUUGUUGUUUGUUGCUGUGGCAUCAUCAAGAUUCACAUGGUAAUGCUAUAUACACUAUACAAUGAGAAUCUUGAUGAUCUUGCAUCGCAAUAAAUGACUAUAUCAAGAAGUAGGAAAUUAAAUUUCAAAUACGUUUGAGAAUCUUGUUAUUCGUCUACAAGUAACUUAUUGUAAACAGAUCUUAUUAAUUUAUAAACGCAAUUUUAAUUUGAGCCCAAAGACACCACACCAUUUUCAGUGCGGUAGCCAGACACACUGAACGCUACCACUACAAAACAGUGGUAACCAAUCAUACCCUUAAUUAUUUUUCAUUAUAAUUGAUUAAUUAAUUUGAUUCUGGUCAGUUGAUAUGCAUCAUCAAUAUAUAUGACGUGCUUGUGUGCGACACCUUGGAGCUAUAAGCGGCUAAUUAAUGAAGGUGAGAUAAUCGAAAAUCUUAUUUUUUGAAUGGUUUAUAUACUUUGAUUUUGUGUAUUUUAGUUUUGUAUUAAAAAAAAUGUCAUAAUUUGAUUCUUCUUUUAAAUAAUGUAAGUGAAUUUUUUUUGAUUUAUUUAAUCAUUUACACAAGCAAUACAAUUUAAAAAUUGGGAAACUGUAUUUUCAAUUCACGCAGUUCCUUUGGAAUAUACCCUAUAUAAUUGGAUAUUCUUUCAAAUUCUGGAAAACUUAUUUAAACUGUCAAUAUUCUUGUGUAUAAUAUUUUGAAUUGGUCUUACUAUAUGUGUUAGAUUUUGAAAAUUCUAAUUUUUAGUUUCGCAUAUGCAUAUAUGAAGAAUCUAUUAGGCACAGACACGGAUUUAGGGGGCAGCAAGUGGAGCCCUCCUAGGAUUUUAAAACUUUUACUACUAUCUAUUUGCUAGAUGGAUUUUUUAUCAAAAAAUUUAUAUUUCUUAAAUGUUACUCCCUCCAUUCCAAAAUACAAUUUGAUUUUUGAAAUUUAAUAUGUUAUCGUUUGAUCUCAAAAAUUAAAUUCAAGUUGAAUAUCUAAUUUUGGAACGAAGGCAGUACCAUAUAAUUUUGUGAAUAAUGUUCAGUACUCCUAAUGUAUACAUAAUGUUCAGUACUCCAAAAUGCUAUACAUAAUGUUCAGUACAUGUUUUUCUUCUAAAUCCAUCAUUAAUUUGUGGAUAAUUUUAUGCAAGAAACUUGUACAUUUACUAUAAAUGUACCAAUUUGAAUAUUUACUUUUUAAUCUUAAUGUUGUAUAAUUGAUUACACAAGAUUAUAAUUAUAAUUAUUAAAAUAAUUUCAAAAAUAUUAUUAUAAACAUUCAUCUUAUGGCUAAAAUUUCUGGUCACCGCUAUGUUUAAGUACUCCUAAUUGGAUGUUGUGAAGUGUAAUCACACAUGUCCAUGAUACACCAUGCGAAUCCGACUACCAUGAAGUUAAUAAUCGAUCAGUUUCUGUCUACUAGCCAUAUACAAAAUAUUUAUCCAUAUAGCACAGUUUCAUUGGUGUAUAUCACAUAUUUUCAAUGCAACUUUGUAUAUUAUAUGGAUACAAUAUUUUUCUAUAUGUUUUAACAAAAGUUUGACCAAUUUUAAACUUCAUGGAGUUUGAUCUUGGCUCAGGACGAACUCUAAGGGCAUGCUUAACACACCUGGCUUCCUUCCUCCACUAUGCAAGCGGGUACAAAUAUCGCAAACAUACUCAUUGACAACUAUUAAAGCCUGCUUAUAAUUUAUUUUUUUUGGGAAUGAGGAAAAAUUUUGUUAUUUUUUCUAGUCAACAAUUACAACACCCUUCUUAGCUGAAAAGUUCCAAGAGACUAGAAAGAUGAUAUAUUCUUUGGUCAAUAUUAAGGCAUUAAGUUUUCCUAAGAUAGCAUGGGAAAGAAAGAACAUGUAUAUAAGGCAACAAAAUGAAUCUAUGGCUUUUGAGUUGUUACAGUUGUUCCUAUGUCAUUUAUUUCUGGGGCAUAUAUAUGUGAUGUGAAAAAAAGAAGUUAAGAUCUGAGGAACUGGUGAUUAUUGUUUGUACACAUCUUUCUAUUUUUGAGCCAUGGAAGUGAACAAGAAACUCAAGAAGCCAUGUUAGUUGUAAACAUUAAGAACAAAAACUUCAAUGUUAUCGUACAAAUUUUAAAGAGGAAUAAUCUUUAAAUGAAGGCCCAC